GGGGCAGAGGGAGAGGAAGGAGAAGCAGAGAGCCAGGGGGAGCUGGAGCUGCCAGGGAGGAGACACCUGGGCAGGCCGGGGGCCGGGUGCAUCGCCCCCUGCCUCUAGCCCCCUGGGGGGUCCCGCUCCCCUCAGGGCCAGCCGAGCUGCCGGCAGCGCUGAUUGGUCUCCGCCGUUACCCAGGCGAUGGGCGGGGAGGUGAGUCCCCGUGUCGUCCCCGCCGCCCCCGCAUCCUCCUUCCCGAGCCCGCUGCAUCGGCACCGGGCGCAGCGCGACCCCUGGGCAGCCUGCUGCUGCCGCCCCCCUGGCUCCAUCCUCCGGCCGGGCUCCCGCCGCCUGCCCCGGCCCCCCGCGGCGCCCGCCGGGCCAUGGGCUGCGGGAACUCCACGGCCAGCAGCGCGGGCAGCCGAGACCAGAAGAAUUGGUGUCAGAAGAUGACAAAAGGAGGAACUAUGGUGGUGUAUACGUUGGUCUGCCAUCUGAGGUUGCUACCAUGGCUCCCAGUCAGACAAAGACUGAACCUAAAGAUUAGAGGAAAAUAAUACACCAAGAUUCAAUCAUCAGGAGUCCUUUGCAUAGACCACUCAUCUAAACUUAAGAGACAGCUGCCUUUCCGCUGAAGAUUUUUAUAAGUCCAGCCAGCAAGAAAGUUCAGAGCACCAAAAAUCUUAACUGUCGUAAGGUACAACUACGGGUAAAGUUUAAUGGUACAGUAUGGAAUCAAUUGGACUAUGAUGGUUGCAUUAUGGAACCUUCUGCUGUCCUCCAGUGAAAAAUGAAUUAAUAAACUUAUGGUGGAUAUUUCUGCACAAGAGCUAAUUUGACAAUCUGCAGCAUAUUUCUCUUUGGCCAUGUUGCAGAUUUAAUCAACUACACUACAUAUAUUUUCUCCAACAAUUUUUGAUAGUUUUUAUGUAAGAAAAUCAUUACUACUUGUUCCUAUGGUAGGUUACUGAAAAAUAAUUAUUAAUUUACUUCAGAGUAAUAUAUUUGACAUGUUUGCAUCUUUUUAGUACCGCUGCAGAUUUUAAGGAUAUUUUUGCUGUGAGUAGGAUCAGCUGGGCAUAAGAUCAUCAGAUUCUUAUAGAUGUCACUUUUAUACAGUGAACCAACUAUUGACAUUUAAUUUUCACCUUUUAAAAAUAUAUUAUUGCUCAAGGAAAUUAUUUACAUAGCAAUAAUGUACUUCAUUGCAAUAUUUGUCAAUGGAAUGCUAAUUUUUGCCUGUCAAUAUUUCUUUCAGCUUUAUUUCUUUACAAAGCAUUAAAGGAAAAAUAUAACUACUGCCUAACCACAUUACUGGGUUAUGUCUUCCAUUUUGUGUAAUAUCAUAAUGAUAUUUUCUCAUACAAAGAUGAUAGUGAUGAUGUUGCCAGAGAUAGCGGGACUAAACCUCAAAUCUGCACAUUCCUAAACUCUAGAGAGGAGGUUUGAUUAGUCUUCAAGUUUUGUACCUCAAGUUUGUCUCUGAGCAUUUCAGUAUGUAUGGUAAAUUGCAGUAGGGUAAAUGUUCUGUUACUUCUGUGUACUGUAGUGUUAAAUGAUGGAUGGGUCAUUAAAAACCCAUUAACUUCAUAACUACUGUAAGUUUCCCACAAAACAUCAAACUAAUUGUACAUUUCCACAUGGCUGAAUGUUUUUAAAUGAUUAAAGCAUUUUGCGUAA